rnacentral:rRNA from 2 species
AGAGUUUGAUCAUGGCUCAGAGUGAACGCUGGCGGCGUGCUUAACACAUGCAAGUCGAACGGUAACAGAAGGUACUUGUACCUUGCUGACGAGUGGCGCACGGGUGAGUAAUAUAUAGAUAAUGUGCCCCUUAGUCUGGGAUAGCCAUUGGAAACGAUGAUUAAUACUAGAUACUCCUUCUCAUCAUAAGAUGAGUUGGGAAAGUUUUUCGCUAAGGGAUCGGUCUAUAUCCCAUCAGCUUGUUGGUAGUGUAAGAGACUACCAAGGCUAUGACGGGUAGCGGGUUUGAGAGGAUGAUCCGCCACGCUGGUACUGAGACACGGACCAGACUCCUACGGGAGGCAGCAGUGAGGAAUAUUGCACAAUGGGGGGAACCCUGAUGCAGCAACGCCGCGUGGAGGAUGACGCAUUUCGGUGUGUAAACUCCUUUUAUAUGUCAAGAAAAUGACGGUAGCAUAUGAAUAAGCACCGGCUAACUCCGUGCCAGCAGCCGCGGUAAUACGGAGGGUGCAAGCGUUACUCGGAAUCACUGGGCGUAAAGGACGCGUAGGCGGGUUGGAAAGUCUGAUGGGAAAUCCUACAGCUUAACUGUAGAACUGCAUUGGAAACUUCCAAUCUAGAGUAUGGGAGGGGGAGAUGGAAUUAGUGGUGUA